rnacentral:rRNA from 1 species
GACAGAGGGUGCGAACGUUGUUCGGAAUUACUGGGCGUAAAGCGCGUGUAGGCGGCCAUGUAAGUCGGGCGUGAAAUCCCACGGCUCAACCGUGGAAGUGCACCCGAAACUGCGUGGCUAGAGUCCUGGAGAGGAAGGUGGAAUACUUGGUGUAGAGGUGAAAUUCGUAGAUAUCAAGCGGAACACCGGUGGCGAAGGCGGCCUUCUGGACAGUGACUGACGCUGAGAUACGAAAGCGUGGGGAGCGAACAGG